rnacentral:rRNA from 1 species
GAUGAACGCUAGCGGCAGGCCUAAUACAUGCAAGUCGAACGGUGUCUUCGGACAUAGUGGCGCACGGGUGCGUAACACGUAUGCAACCUACCUUACAUUGGGGGAUAGCCUUUCGAAAGGGAGAUUAAUACCGCAUAAGACAGUAGCUGGGCAUCCAGCAGCUGUUAAAGAUUUAUCGAUGUAAGCUGGGCAUGCGUCCAAUUAGCUAGUUGGUGAGGUAACGGCUCACCAAGGCAAUGAUUGGUAGGGGAACUGAGAGGUCAAUCCCCCACACGGGCACUGGGAUCCGGGCCAGACUCCUACGGGAGGCAGCAGUAGGGAAUAUUGGGCAAUGGACGCAAGUCUGACCCAGCCAUGCCGCGUGCAGGAUGAAGGCGUUAUGCGUUGUAAACUGCUUUUAUACAGGAAGAAACGACUCUUGCGAGAGGCAUUGACGGUACUGUAUGAAUAAGCACCGGCUAACUCCGUGCCAGCCGCCGCGGUAACAC